AUUGAACGCUGGCGGCAUGCCUUACACACGCAAGUCGAAAGGCAGCACGGGAGCAAUCCUGGUGGCGAGUGGCGAACGGGUGAGUAAAGUAUCGGAACGUGCCCAGUCGUGGGGGAUAACGUAGCGAAAGUUACGCUAAUACCGCAUACGAUCUAUGGAUGAAAGCGGGGGAUCGCAAGACCUCGCGCGAUUGGAGCGGCCGAUAUCAGAUUAGGGAGUUGGUGGGGUAAAGGCUCAUCAAGCCGACGAUCUGUAGCUGGUCUGAGAGGACGACCAGCCACACUGGGACUCAGCCACGGACCAGACUCCUACGGGAGGAAGCAGUGGGGAAUUUUGGACAAUGGGCGAAUGCCUGAUCCAUCCAUGCCGCGUGCAGGAUGAAGGCCUUCGGGUUGUAAACUGCUUUUGUACGGAACGAAAAGGUUUGGCCUAAUAAGCUGAGCUCAUGACGGUACCGUAAGAAUAAGCACCGGCUAACUACGUGCCAGCAGCCGCAGUAA
rnacentral:rRNA from 1 species